GGCCUCGUAGCGCAGUUGGUUUGAGCGUUGGCUGGACUAAGACCUUCCCCUUGCUGGCAUGGGUUCGAAUCCCACCGAGGCCG
rnacentral:tRNA from 1 species